rnacentral:rRNA from 1 species
UAACCCUUGUCUUUUUUUGUGCACCCUUUGUUUCCUCGGCAGCUUUGCCUGCCAACGAGGACCCCCCCAAAAACCUUUUGCAAUCCAGUAUAACCAUCUGAAAACAAACAAUAUUAAAACUUUCAACAAUGGAUCUCUUGGCUCUGGCAUCGAUGAAGAACGCAGCGAAAUGCGAUAAGUAGUGUGAAUUGCAGAAUUCAGUGAAUCAUCGAAUCUUUGAACGCACAUUGCGCCCUUUGGUAUUCCUUAGGGCAUGCCUGUUCGAGCGUCAUUUACAAAUUCAAGCUCAGCUUGGUGAUGGGUGUCUGUCCCGCCUUUGCGUGUGGACUCGCCUCAAAUGCAGUUGGCAGCUUGUUCCUCGGCUCCUCUAAACGCAGCAGAUUUGCGUCGAGCGUCGGGCGGACGGGCUCUCCAGUAAGCAAACCCUCAUAAAUUGACCUCGGAUCAGGUAGGGAUACCCGCUGAACUUAAGCAUAUCAAUAAGCGGAGGAAAAGAAACCAACAGGGAUUGCCCCAGUAACGGCGAGUGAAGCGGCAACAGCUCAAAUUUGAAAUCUGGCUCCUUUGGAGUCCGAGUUGUAAUUUGUAGAGGUGCUUUGGCGUUGGUUGUGGUCUAAGUUCCUUGGAACAGGACGUCACAGAGGGUGAGAAUCCCGUACGUGGCCGCCAGCCUCCGCCGUGUAAAGCCCCUUCGAUGAGUCGAGUUGUUUGGGAAUGCAGCUCUAAAUGGGAGGUAAAUUUCUUCUAAAGCUAAAUAUUUGCCAGAGACCGAUAGCGCACAAGUAGAGUGGUCGAAAGAUGAAAAGCACUUU